rnacentral:rRNA from 1 species
UACGUAGGGGGCAAGCGUUGUCCGGAUUUAUUGGGCGUAAAGAGCGUGUAGGCGGCUAGAUAGGUCCGUUGUGAAAACUGGAGGCUCAACCUCCAGCUGUCGAUGGAAACCAUCUAGCUAGAGUGAGGAAGAGGGUCGUGGAAUUCCCAGUGUAGAGGUGAAAUUCGUAGAUAUUGGGAAGAACACCGGUGGCGAAGGCGGCGACCUGGUCCUUGACUGACGCUGAGGCGCGAAAGCGUGGGGAGCAAACAGG